rnacentral:rRNA from 1 species
GACGUAGGGUGCAAGCGUUGUCCGGAUUUACUGGGCGUAAAGGGCGCGUAGGCGGUCUUGUGAGUGUGAAGUGAAAUCUCCAGGGCUCAACCCGGAAACUGCUUCGCAUACUGCAAGACUUGAGGGAUGCAGAGGUUUGUGGAAUUCCUGGUGUAGCGGUGAAAUGCGUUGAUAUCAGGAGGAACACCCAUGGCGAAGGCAGCAAACUGGGCAUCAUCUGACGCUGAGGCGCGAAAGCGUGGGUAGCAAACAGG